rnacentral:misc_RNA from 1 species
UCUGCCAUUUCUGCAGUGGGCUCAUCUUUUGGUAUAUUCAAUAGUAUGGAUGAAUCAAGCAAGCAGAUGAAUUCUGUGAACCAUGGUAGUGCUGUCAGUGGUACUGGAAUCAAGAUUAGAACCCGCCAGCCUCAGGUGCGCCCAUAUGCAGAUAACUUUGCCAUUCAAGGCACUGCUCCAAGAAGACUCCGUUUGCAGAUGAAACUUUCUGCUGUUUCUUAUGGACAUGGAGUGGAGAGAGAUGCAAGUCAUAAAGAAGAUGAGGAUGAAGAUGAAGUGCAAUCAGCUGUAUCAGAGGCCAGUGAUGCAAAACAUAAUCCAGAGUCAGA